UUUUAGGUUUGGUUCAACGAAACGGAAGAAUACCACUACACGCGAAAUCAUUACAAACACAUUGACUCAUCUGGCAGAUAGUUUGUAAGAUAAUCAUUUUCGGCAUUGUUCUAUUCAACUACUUAAGUAGCCCGGCACGACUGCGCAUCUGGCUACGUCAUACCCCCACCCGUCUGCACCCGCAGAGACCCGUCUUUCCUACGCUUGGGUCGAGUCGGCUCACUCGCUCAUUCAUUCCGUAUUCGCAAACCUUGUCGCGCGCCGCCCACUGAGCCGGUGAAAUCUUUAAUUCCUGUUUGGUUAAAAUUGCCACUGGAGUAGUGCAAUCUCCACUAUGUUGAAAGAGAAGUCCAGAUACGACCACAGGCACUCAUCUGGAGAAGAAGGACGUCCCCUAGCAUCAAGUAGGUUACCUGCUAUAGAGGAACUUACCCUUGGCCUGAAACAAAAGCUCCACCUGCAAGCGCGAGCAAGAGCGGCUCCCUACUAUAUUAGAAAGCAAGAACCUGUCGAUCUCGUGGAACGGCUCUUGGAACAGCGUGCCCUUGUCGCCGAGGCCGUUAGGAGACUUCAAGAAAAGAAACAAACAUGUCAUGAGAUAUCAGUAGAUUCAUAAUUUAUAAACAAAACAUUUUAGUUGUGAAAGUGUGGAACGUGUUGUGAAAUCGCUUGUGUGUAAGAAACGUGUCGGGUUACAAUGGUGCUAUAUGCAGAGAACGUGCGGGAGUGAGACGGCCAGAUAUGACGUGUCACACACGACACGAGUCACGAGAACGAACCAAAAUGGCCGCGCAUACUCUACAAUCAUAAUAUUUAUUCUUCAUUUUAUAGUGACCUUAACUGAUCAAAGUACUGGAUGACGUAACUAGCGUUUGGUAUUGUUGUUAAUAAUAAAUAACCUAUUUCUAUAAUAACUAUUUACCUACAAUUUAGUGGCUGACUGUCACUUCGAGGCAUUUUCGUCAUAAACUUUAAAUAAAUAAUAUUGAACAAUUACUGUAUUAUAAAGUAUUUGAGAGCUUUAACUAUCGAUUACUUAUUUCAUUAUUAGCUUUUCAAUUUAGAAUAUAAUCUCAAUUCAGUUUUGUAUUUAAGUAAAAUAUCCUAUCGCACACAAUUAAAGUAAAAUGUUAUCUAAUACAUACUUCUCAUAGUGUUUAUUACUUUUAAGUCAUUGUAUCGCUCUUCUUUGAGAUAAUGUAUUGUGUACUAUCUUAUGCCAAAUAGCUUUCAAAAAGUGAUUGUAGAGAAUAACAGUAAAUUCCUAUUUGUUAGUAAUAUGUACAGUUACUUCAUUGCAUGUGUGAGUACCUAAUGUAGACUACAGAAAAUGUACAUUACAAUCUCAAUUGUAAUGUGGUUAGUGGAUAUUUUUCGUUGCGACUGACAACGUGCUUAUACUUAGGCAAUUUUAGGCAAUAUUAAUUUAUAAUAAAAAUACCUGUAUGAGUGUUACAAUAAGUGACAACUAUGUACAAUAAUUGUACCAAAACCAGGUAUAAAAAUCAUUGUAAUAUUACAUGUGUGCAUGUUUUAGUGCAUUUUGUGAUUUUUAGAUAGUUUAAUUUAUCGUCGAUCUUGUGAUUUAGAUAAUAAUUAAGUAAUAAAUGGAAAUAAUUUCAAAGAA